GAUGAACGCUGGCGGCGUGCCUAAUACAUGCGAGUCGAGCGAACAGACGAGGAGCUUGCUCCUCUGACGUUAGCGGCGGACGGGUGAGUAACACGUGGAUAACCUACCUAUAAGACUGGGAUAACUUCGGGAAACCGGAGCUAAUACCGGAUAAUAUAUUGAACCGCAUGGUUCAAUAGUGAAAGACGGUUUUGCUGUCACUUAUAGAUGGAUCCGCGCCGCAUUAGUUAGUUGGUAAGGUAACGGCUUACCAAGGCGACGAUGCGUAGCCGACCUGAGAGGGUGAUCGGCCACACUGGAACUGAGACACGGUCCAGACUCCUACGGGAGGCAGCAGUAGGGAAUCUUCCGCAAUGGGCGAAAGCCUGACGGAGCAACGCCGCGUGAGUGAUGAAGGUCUUCGGAUCGUAAAACUCUGUUAUUAGGGAAGAACAAAUGUGUAAGUAACUAUGCACGUCUUGACGGUACCUAAUCAGAAAGCCACGGCUAACUACGUG
rnacentral:rRNA from 1 species